UGUGAAUUAGCUCAAGAGCAAAGGGAGCUAAAUCCGAUAAAGGGAAGGAAAAAGUAGUUGAAUAGCCGUCGAAAUCGCUCGACAACAUUCAAGGUUUCGCUCGUUAGCUAUCGGAUUCGGGAUCAAAGAAGUCGAAGUCAUCCACACUAUCGAAGCCCCAUUUUGGUACAAAUUUUGGUUGAACUUUGAAAUGGCAUGUAUAGGACCAUCCUUUGUUGAAGGUCAUGUACCUUCCGGUUUGUGUAAACUUAGAUAGCCAUGCGAAAAUGGCUUAUAUACGUUUUUAGCAUAGAACUAUAAUCGUUUGUAUGUUGACCCUUAUGAGGUAUGGAAUUAUUUUGAAACGAUUAGCCAUUGGAAUGGUUAAUCAUGAUCACACUUUGUGCUAUGUAUGUAAAAAGGGCCGAUUGAAUCA